rnacentral:rRNA from 1 species
GAUGAACGCUGGCGGCGUGCCUAAUACAUGCAAGUCGAGCGAACAGACGAGGAGCUUGCUCCUCUGACGUUAGCCGAGGACGGGUGAGUAACACGUGUAUAACCUACCUAUAUGACUGGGAUAACUUCGGGACACCGGAGCUAAUACCGGAUAAUAUAUUGCACCGCAUGGUUCAAUAGUAAAAGACGGUUUUGCUGUCACUUAUAGAUGGAUCCGCGCCGCAUUAGCUAGUUGGUAAGGUAACGGCUUACCAAGGCAACGAUGCGUAGCCGACGUGCGGGGGUGAUAGGCGGCACGGGAGGUGGGACACGGUCCAGACUCCUGCGAGAGGCAGCAGUAGGGAAUCUGACGCAAUGGGCGAGAGUAUGACGGAGCAACGCCGAGUGAGUGAUGAAGGUCUUCGGAUCGUAAAACUCUGUUAUUAGGUAAGAACAAAUGUGUAAGUAACUAUGCACGGCUUGACGGUACCUAGUCAGAAAGCCACGGCUAACUACGUG